AUACUUACCUGGACGGGGUCUAUGGCUGAUCAAGAAGAGCCAUGGCCUAGGCUAGUGGCCCACAUUGCACUUUGUGGGUGCGCUGGCCUACCAUCUCCCCUUUGAGGGAGAGUGGAUGUCGUAAUUUGUGAUAGAGGGGGUACGUGUUCGCGCGGCCCCUGC
rnacentral:snRNA from 9 species